AGUGAACGCUGGCGGUAGGCCUAACACAUGCAAGUCGAACGGCAGCACAGUAAGAGCUUGCUCUUACGGGUGGCGAGUGGCGGACGGGUGAGGAAUACAUCGGAAUCUACUUUUUCGUGGGGGAUAACGUAGGGAAACUUACGCUAAUACCGCAUACGACCUACGGGUGAAAGCAGGGGAUCUUCGGACCUUGCGCGAUUGAAUGAGCCGAUGUCGGAUUAGCUAGUUGGCGGGGUAAAGGCCCACCAAGGCGACGAUCCGUAGCUGGUCUGAGAGGAUGAUCAGCCACACUGGAACUGAGACACGGUCCAGACUCCUACGGGAGGCAGCAGUGGGGAAUAUUGGACAUUGGGCGCAAGCCUGCUCCAGCCAUACCGCGUGGUGGAAGAAGGCUUUCGGGUUGUAAAGCCCUUUUGUUGGGAAAGAAAAGCAGCAGGUUAAUACCCCGCUGUUCUGACGGUACCCAAAGAAUAAGCACCGGCUAACUUCGUG
rnacentral:rRNA from 1 species